UACGUAGGGGGCAAGCGUUGUCCGGAAUCAUUGGGCGUAAAGCGCGUGUAGGCGGCUCGAUAAGUCUGCUGUAAAAGUCCAGGGCUCAACCCUGGAAAGCCGGUGGAAACUGUCGAGCUAGAGUCCGGAAGAGGCGAGUGGAAUUCCUGGUGUAGCGGUGAAAUGCGCAGAUAUCAGGAGGAACACCAAUGGCGAAGGCAGCUCGCUGGGACGGUACUGACGCCUGGAGACGCGAAAGCGUGGGGAGCAAACAGG
rnacentral:rRNA from 1 species